GAGAGCUUGCUCUCGGGUGACGAGUGGCGGACGGGUGAGUAAUGUCUGGGAAACUGCCUGAUGGAGGGGGAUAACUACUGGAAACGGUAGCUAAUACCGCAUAACGUCGCAAGACCAAAGAGGGGGACCUUCGGGCCUCUUGCCAUCAGAUGUGCCCAGAUGGGAUUAGCUAGUAGGUGGGGUAACGGCUCACCUAGGCGACGAUCCCUAGCUGGUCUGAGAGGAUGACCAGCCACACUGGAACUGAGACACGGUCCAGACUCCUACGGGAGGCAGCAGUGGGGAAUAUUGCACAAUGGGCGCAAGCCUGAUGCAGCCAUGCCGCGUGUGUGAAGAAGGCCUUCGGGUUGUAAAGCACUUUCAGCGGGGAGGAAGGGAGUAAGGUUAAUAACCUUAUUCAUUGACGUUACCCGCAGAAGAAGCACCGGCUAACUCCGUGCCAGCAGCCGCGGUAAUACGGAGGGUGCAAGCGUUAAUCGGAAUUACUGGGCGUAAAGCGCACGCAGGCGGUCUGUCAAGUCGGAUGUGAAAUCCCCGGGCUCAACCUGGGAACUGCAUCCGAAACUGGCAGGCUUGAGUCUCGUAGAGGGAGGUAGAAUUCCAGGUGUAGCGGUGAAAUGCGUAGAGAUCUGGAGGAAUACCGGUGGCGA
rnacentral:rRNA from 1 species